rnacentral:rRNA from 1 species
UACGGAGGGUGCGAGCGUUAAUCGGAAUUACUGGGCGUAAAGCGCACGUAGGCGGUCAGGCAAGUCGGGUGUGAAAGCCCUGGGCUCAACCUGGGAAUUGCAUUCGAAACUAUCUGACUCGAGUAUGGGAGAGGGAAGCGGAAUUUCCGGUGUAGCGGUGAAAUGCGUAGAUAUCGGUAGGAACACCAGUGGCGAAGGCGGUCUCCUGGGGCAUUCUUGACGCUGAGGCGCGAAAGCUGGGGGAGCAAACGGG